rnacentral:rRNA from 1 species
UCGAGCGGUAACAGAGAGUAGCUUGCUACUUUGCUGACGAGCGGCGGACGGGUGAGUAAUGCUUGGGAACAUGCCUUGAGGUGGGGGACAACAGUUGGAAACGACUGCUAAUACCGCAUAAUGUCUACGGACCAAAGGGGGCUUCGGCUCUCGCCUUUAGAUUGGCCCAAGUGGGAUUAGCUAGUUGGUGAGGUAAUGGCUCACCAAGGCGACGAUCCCUAGCUGGUUUGAGAGGAUGAUCAGCCACACUGGGACUGAGACACGGCCCAGACUCCUACGGGAGGCAGCAGUGGGGAAUAUUGCACAAUGGGCGCAAGCCUGAUGCAGCCAUGCCGCGUGUGUGAAGAAGGCCUUCGGGUUGUAAAGCACUUUCAGUCAGGAGGAAAGGUUAGUAGUUAAUACCUGCUAGCUGUGACGUUACUGACAGAAGAAGCACCGGCUAACUCCGUGCCAGCAGCCGCGGUAAUACGGAGGGUGCGAGCGUUAAUCGGAAUUACUGGGCGUAAAGCGUACGCAGGCGGUUUGUUAAGCGAGAUGUGAAAGCCCCGGGCUCAACCUGGGAACUGCAUUUCGAACUGGCAAACUAGAGUGUGAUAGAGGGUGGUAGAAUUUCA